rnacentral:rRNA from 1 species
GACGAACGCUGGCGGCAUGCCUAACACAUGCAAGUCGAACGAGAACUUCGGGUCUAGUGGCGCACGGGUGCGUAACGCGUGGGAAUCUGCCCUUGGGUUCGGAAUAACAGAUGGAAAGGAAUGCUAAUACCGGAUGAUGUCGUAAGUCCAAAGAUUUAUCGCCCAAGGAUGGGGCCGCGUAGGAUUAGCUGGUUGGUGAGGUAAAGGCUCACCAAGGCGACGAUCCUUAGCUGGUCGGAGAGGAUGCUCAGCCACACUUGGACUGCGACACGGCCCAGACUCCGACGGGAGGCUGCAGUGGGUUAUAUUGGACACUGAGCGAUAGCCUGAUCCAGCAAUGCCGCGUGAGUGAUCAAUGCCUUAGUGUUGUAAAGCUCUUUGACCCGGGAUGAUAAUGACGGUACCGGGUGAAGAAGCACCGGCUAACUCCGUG